rnacentral:rRNA from 1 species
GUCCACGCCCUAAACGAUGCACACUAGAUCGGUGCGGGUUUUACCCCGUAUUGGUCGUAGAGAAAUUGCUAAGUGUGCCGCCUGGGGAGUACGGUCGCAAGGCUAAAACUCAAAGAAAUUGACGGGGGCUCACACAAGCGGUGGAGCAUGUUGCUUAAUUCGAAGCAACGCGAAGAACCUUACCUGGGUUUGACAUGCACGGAUUAGCUCCUGGAAACAGGAGUAAGGCCCGCAAGGGUACAACGUGCACAGGUGCUGCAUGGCUGUCGU